rnacentral:rRNA from 1 species
CAGCAGCCGCGGUAAUGCGUAGGUGGCAAGCGUUGUCCGGAAUUAUUGGGCGUAAAGCGCGCGCAGGUGGUUUAAUAAGUCUGAUGUGAAAGCCCACGGCUCAACCGUGGAGGGUCAUUGGAAACUGUUAAACUUGAGUGCAGGAGAGAAAAGUGGAAUUCCUAGUGUAGCGGUGAAAUGCGUAGAGAUUAGGAGGAACACCAGUGGCGAAGGCGGCUUUUUGGCCUGUAACUGACACUGAGGCGCGAAAGCGUGGGGAGCAAACAGGAUUAGAUACCCGGGUAGUCCCUGUCUCUUAUAC